GCACCACAGCGACCAGCCGUUUCUAGGAGACAGGAGCACCUAGAACUGGAACAGGAAUGUGCACAACUGAAGUACCCUGGUUGAACUUGAAUCAGAGUCCAAGGAAGGAGGCCCUGGCAUUGUGAGAUGAUGGGCAGUAUUCUCACAGAGAGCAGCUCCAGCAGUUUGGGCAAGAUAUGAUAAAACUUGUGAAGCUCUGGGCAUUUAAAUAAAGAUAUUCUCAAAAAAAGAAGAAAAAUAAAGAUAUUCUCAUUGCAAGACCUCAGAUGACUGUUCAUACACAUGAUCAUGCUGCUAAAUCCAUGGGCCAUGUGCAAGUAAGAGAUAUUUAAGAAGACAUCAGCAAAAAGUUUGAACUUCCAGCCACCUGCUGGCCACCUGGGCUUUAGCUACCUCUGCAUCAUCUUAAUUGAAAGGAAAGAACCUUGAAACAUUCAUUGUUACUGGUAUGGGGUUUCCCCAAAUUGUUACCAUUAUAUUUUAUGGUAAGAGUACUGAUUCUGAGUCACAUUGGGUGGAAGCCACAACCCAUGGAUGAGUUAGGCAUGUCCUGGGACCACCUUGAGACUAGGUGGUGCUUACAGGACCUACUUGUGUGUCUGACUUACUGCCAGUGAGGACCUGAGAGACAGGGGUGAUGGGAAACCUUGUGUUCCAAGUUUCUAACUCCUGCCUCAGAAUUCUAAUAAAAACAAGAGUCUGAGUCU